GGAGAAUACUUUUUGAGUAACAAAAGGAAAUCGGCGAAGAUAUGGCAAGAGAAGCAGGAGAAGCAGGCUGAAAAAACUGCUGAAAACAAAAGAAAAAGAGAAGAGGCCUUUAUCCCACCCAAGGAGCCUGCAAACCUGGUGGAUAAAUCUGAGGACACUAACAAUAAUGUUGCUGACAUGGCAAAUUCUUUAAAG